rnacentral:rRNA from 1 species
CCUACGGGAGGCAGCAGUGGGGAAUUUUGGACAAUGGGGGCAACCCUGAUCCAGCCAUUCCGCGUGUGCGAUGAAGGCCUUCGGGUUGUAAAGCACUUUUGGCAGGAAAGAAAUCGCACCGAUUAAUACUUGGUGUGGAUGACGGUACCUGCAGAAUAAGCACCGGCUAACUACGUGCCAGCAGCCGCGGUAAUACGUAGGGUGCAAGCGUUAAUCGGAAUUACUGGGCGUAAAGCGUGCGCAGGCGGUUCGGAAAGAGAGGUGUGAAAUCCCAGGGCUCAACCUUGGAACUGCACUUUUAACUACCGAGCUAGAGUAUGUCAGAGGGGGGUGGAAUUCCGCGUGUAGCAGUGAAAUGCGUAGAUAUGCGGAGGAACACCGAUGGCGAAGGCAGCCCCCUGGGAUAAUACUGACGCUCAUGCACGAAAGCGUGGGGAGCAAACAGGAUUAGAUACCCUGGUAGUCCACGCCCUAAACGAUGUCAACUAGCUGUUGGGGCCUUCGGGCCUUAGUAGCGCAGCUAACGCGUGAAGUUGACCGCCUGGGGAGUACGGUCGCAAGAUUAAAACUCAAAUGAAUUGACGG